AUCUAUAGCCAUACUACCCUCAACCUACCUGAUCUCAGAAGCAAAGCAGGGUCAGGCCUAGUUAGUGCUUGGACAGGAGCAGUUU
rnacentral:rRNA from 1 species